rnacentral:piRNA from 1 species
UAAUAAAGGUUGCCUAGAUAAAGAUAUGGU